rnacentral:rRNA from 1 species
UACGUAGGGGGCAAGCGUUAUCCGGAUUUACUGGGUGUAAAGGGAGCGUAGACGGCUGUGCAAGUCUGAAGUGAAAGGCAUGGGCUCAACCUGUGGACUGCUUUGGAAACUGUGCAGCUAGAGUGUCGGAGAGGUAAGUGGAAUUCCUAGUGUAGCGGUGAAAUGCGUAGAUAUUAGGAGGAACACCAGUGGCGAAGGCGGCUUACUGGACGAUGACUGACGUUGAGGCUCGAAAGCGUGGGGAGCAAACAGGAUUAGAUACCCGGGUAGUCUGACUACU